AUUGAACGCUGGCGGCAGGCCUAACACAUGCAAGUCGAGCGGCAGCGGGAAAGUAGCUUGCUAUUUUUGCCGGCGAGCGGCGGACGGGUGAGUAGUGCCUGGGGAUCUGCCCAGUCGAGGGGGAUAACUACUGGAAACGGUAGCUAAUACCGCAUACGCCCUACGGGGGAAAGCAGGGGACCUUCGGGCCUUGCGCGAUUGGAUGAACCCAGGUGGGAUUAGCUAGUUGGUGAGGUAAUGGCGCACCAAGGCGACGAUCCCUAGCUGGUCUGAGAGGAUGAUCAGCCACACUGGACCUGAGACACGGUCCAGACUCCUACGGGAGGCAGCAGUGGGGAAUAUUGCACAAUGGGGGAAACCCUGAUGCAGCCAUGCCGCGUGUGUGAAGAAGGCCUUCGGGUUGUAAAGCACUUUCAGCGAGGAGGAAAGGUUGGUAGCUAAUAACUGCCAGCUGUGACGUUACUCGCAGAAGAAGCACCGGCUAACUCCGUGCCAGCCGCCGCAGUAAUAC
rnacentral:rRNA from 1 species